AUCGCUUCUCGGCCUUUUGGCUAAGAUCACGUGCA
rnacentral:snRNA from 1 species